rnacentral:misc_RNA from 1 species
UUCCGGACUCGCUCUGCAUGUCGGGCUCCCUGCACUUUUGGUGCGGCCAACCGACAUGGGGCUGUCUCUUCACUCUCCCUCCCGUCAUARAAUUUGUCGGGUUGGGACGCUUGCGAUCGGUUGCCUGUGCGGUUCUACCCCCUUGUGGGUAGCGAAGUCGUCCCUCGAUUGAUGCCUGCUUGCCCGGCUGACAUUCUGUUGUCGUUCGGGCAGCCGAAAUGUUGGCGAAAUCCCUGUGUUGGUGCGCGGUCGAAUGCCCCGUUGCUAUCGCUUGGAUUUCUGCCGGCUCUCACGGAUGCGGUGCCUAGUGCUAGCUCUGCGGGACUUUGCCCCGCAGACUUCGGGAGGUCCCAUGUACGAAUCACUGCUCUCAUACGCCGUCUGUCGUGUUGCCGGUGGUGAUGCGCAGAUCGUGUUCUUUUGUGUCGUCGUUGGCGACACGUCUGAACAAAGUGUCCGGAGCGUGCUGGCGUGCGUGCGGAAUGCCUCUCCGUCCGUAUGAGCAGCGAUUUCCGGUUUUGCACCGUGCGAAGGCCCGCCCGUCCGGGUCGGUGCCGGAGCCGAUGCGCCGGCUCUCGUUUAAGACGUGC